rnacentral:rRNA from 1 species
UGCUAGUCGAGUGCUCUUUUAGCCAUGAUGAGAGCACGGUGCACAGCUCAGUAACACGUGGCUAACCUGCCCUUGGGACAGGGAUAUCCCCGGGAAACUGGGGCUAAUCCCCGAUAGGUGAAGAACUCUGGAAUGAGUCUUUGCCCAAAAGAUGCCUGUGUCAUGCUUACAGGCAUCGCCCAAGGAUGGGGCCGCGACCGAUCAGGUUGUUGGUGAGGUAAUGGCCCACCAAGCCUAUAACCGGUGCGGGCCGUGAGAGCGGGAGCCCGGAGAUGGGCACUGAGACAAGGGCCCAGGUCCUACGGGGCGCAGCAGUCGCGAAAACUUUGCAAUACACGAAAGUGUGACAGGGUCAUCCCGAGUGCCGACCGCUGAGGUUGGCUUUUAUCCAGUCUAGAAAGCUGGGGGAAUAAGGAGGGGGCAAGUCUGGUGUCAGCCGCCGCGGUAAUACCAGCUCUCCGAGUGGUGUGGACGUUUAUUGGGCCUAAAGCAUCCGUAGCUGGCUGGGCAAGUCCCCUGUUAAACCCACCGAUUUAAUCGUUGGUNUGCGGGGGAUACUGCUCGGCUAGGGGACGAGAGAGGCAGACGGUAUUCUCGGGGUAGGGGUGAAAUCCUAUAAUCCCGAGAAGACCACCAGUGGCGAAGGCUGUCUGCUAGAACGCGCCCGACGGUGAGGGAUGAAAGCUGGGGGAGCGAACCGGAUUAGAUACCCGGGUAGUCCCAGCCGUAAACGAUGCAGACUAGGUGUUUGGACGGCCACGUGCCGUUCUAGUGCCGCAGGGAAGCUGUUAAGUCUGCCGCCUGGGGAGUACGAUCGCAAGGUUGAAACUUAAAGGAAUUGGCGGGGGAGCACCACAAGGGGUGAAGCUUGCGGUUUAAUUGGAUUCAACGCCGGAAAU